UAGGGAAUCUUCGGCAAUGGACGAAAGUCUGACCGAGCAACGCCGCGUGAGUGAUGAAGGUUUUCGGAUCGUAAAACUCUGUUGUUAGAGAAGAACAAGGACGUUAGUAACUGAACGUCCCCUGACGGUAUCUAACCAGAAAGCCACGGCUAACUACGUGCCAGCAGCCGCGGUAAUACGUAGGUGGCAAGCGUUGUCCGGAUUUAUUGGGCGUAAAGCGAGCGCAGGCGGUUUCUUAAGUCUGAUGUGAAAGCCCCCGGCUCAACCGGGGAGGGGCAUUGGAAACUGGGGGACUUGAGUGCAGGAGAGGAGAGUGGAAUUCCAAGUGUAGCGGUGAAAUGCGUAGAUAUAUGGAGGAACACCAGUGGCGAAGGCGGCUCUCUGGUCUGUAACUGACGCUGAGGCUCGAAAGCGUGGGGAGCAAACAGG
rnacentral:rRNA from 1 species